UACGAAGGGGGCUAGCGUUGUUCGGAAUUACUGGGCGUAAAGGGCCAGUAGGCGGCCGGCUAAGUCCGACGUGAAAUCCCCAGGCUUAACCUGGGAACUGCGUCGGAUACUGGCUGGCUUGAAUUCGGGAGAGGGAUGCAGAAUUCCAGGUGUAGCGGUGAAAUGCGUAGAUAUCUGGAGGAAUACCGGUGGCGAAGGCGGCAUCCUGGACCGACAUUGACGCUGAACGGCGAAAGCUAGGGGAGCAAACGGG
rnacentral:rRNA from 1 species